UGGGGAAUAUUGGACAAUGGGCGAAAGCCUGAUCCAGCCAUGCCGCGUGUGUGAAGAAGGUCUUCGGAUUGUAAAGCACUUUAAGUUGGGAGGAAGGGUUGUAGAUUAAUACUCUGCAAUUUUGACGUUACCGACAGAAUAAGCACCGGCUAACUCUGUGCCAGCAGCCGCGGUAAUACAGAGGGUGCAAGCGUUAAUCGGAAUUACUGGGCGUAAAGCGCGCGUAGGUGGUUUGUUAAGUUGGAUGUGAAAUCCCCGGGCUCAACCUGGGAACUGCAUCCAAAACUGACUGACUAGAGUAUGGUAGAGGGUGGUGGAAUUUCCUGUGUAGCGGUGAAAUGCGUAGAUAUAGGAAGGAACACCAGUGGCGAAGGCGACCACCUGGACUGAUACUGACACUGAGGUGCGAAAGCGUGGGGAGCAAACAGGAUUAGAUACCCCCGUAGUCCCUGAGCGGGCUGGCAAGGCGCAU
rnacentral:rRNA from 1 species